rnacentral:lncRNA from 12 species
CGAGCUUCCGCUUCACUUUCCAGCUGCCACUGCCACCUUGGGGUGCGGCACUUGCCCCGCUCACGUGCCUCUUCCUGCUCCACCUCCUCUGCCAGCUGCUGCUCGCGCCUCUGCUGCUGCUCCAGGCGCUGCUCCUCGCGUCUGAGCUGCUCGCGUCUUUCCUCCUGCUCGCGCCUCAGCUCCUGCUCCAGGCGCUGCUCCUCGCGUCUGAGCUGCUCGCGUCUUUCCUGCUCGCGCCUCAGCUCCUGCUCCAGGCGCGGCUCCUUGCGUCUCAGCUCCUGCUCGCGCCUCAGCUCCUGCUCCAGGCGCGGCUCCUCGCGCCUCAGCUCCUGCUCGCGCCUUAGUUCUUGCUCGCGUCUUUCCUCCUGCUCGCGCCUCAGCUCCUGCUCCAGGCGCUGCUCCUCGCGUCUGAGCUGCUCACGUCUUCCCUGCUCGCCCCUCAGCUCCUGCUCCAGGCGCGGCUCCUUGCGUCUCAGCUCCUGCUCGCGCCUCAGCUCCUGCUCCAAGCGCUGCUCAUUGCGCCUCAGUUCUUGCUCGCGCCUUAGCUCCUGCUCACGCCCGAGCUCCUGCUCCUCGCGUCUCAGCUCCUGCUCGUGUCUUAAUUCUUGUUCGCGCCCCAGCUCCUGCUCCAGGCGCGGCUCCUCGCGUCUCAGCUCCUGCUCGCGCCUUAGUUCUUGCUCGCGUCUUUCCUCCUGCUCGCGCCUCAGCUCCUGCUCCAAGCGCUGCUCAUUGCGCCUCAGUUCUUGCUCGCGCCUUAGCUCCUGCUCACGCCUGAGCUCCUGCUCCUCGCGUCUCAGCUCCUGCUCGUGUCUUAAUUCUUGUUCGCGCCCCAGCUCCUGCUCCAGGCGCUGCUCCUUGCGUCUCAGCUGCUCCCGUCUCUGCUGCGGCUCGUCGCGCCGCGGCUCCUGCUCGCGCCUUAGUUCUUGCUCGCGUCUUUCCUCCUGCCGGCGCCUCAGCUCCUGCUCCAGGCGCGGCUCCUUGCGUCUCAGCUGCUCACGUGUCUGCUCCUGCUCGCGCCUUAGUUCUUGCUCGCGCCUCAGCUCCUGCUCCAAGCGCUGCUCUUUGCGCCUCAGUUCUUGCUCACGCCUGAGCUCCUGCUCCUCGCGCCUCAGCUCCUGCUCCAGGCGCGGCUCCUUGCGUCUCAGCUCCUGCUCGCGCCUUAGUUCUUGCUCGCGUCUUUCCUCCUGCUCGCGCCUCAGCUCCUGCUCCAGGCGCGGCUCCUUGCGUCUCAGUUCUUGCUCGCGCCUUAGCUCCUGCUCACGCCUGAGCUCCUGCUCCUCGCGUCUCAGCUCCUGCUCUUGUUCUUGCAUACGUCUCUCCUGCUCGCGCCGCAGCUCCUGCUCCAGGUGCCUUUCCUGGCGCCUUUGCCGUUGCAGUUGCUCGCCUUCCUCCUCGAGUGCCCGCUCGCCUUGCUCUUGGCGCUCCCGCCUUUGCAGAUGCUCUUCCUCUUGCAGCUCCCGCUGCGCCUGCCUCUCUCGCCUUUGCUCUUGA